UUGGAAGAAUUUAUAGCUUUUUAAGAUGGUGCUGCUCUUUUUUCCUGCAGAAGCAGCAUGUGAUGGGUAUUUUUCUUUCUCGGAAUCGGGUACUGCUUAAUGUUAUCCCAGCUAAUUGUUUAUUUUGCCCCAUUAACUUGGAAUAGACCUGGGGUUGAGGCUUCUUACAUCUUAUAUGCAACAUAAACAUGCAUUUAUUGUUUUUCAAGUCCACAAAAAAAUAAUCCUUUGGGACAGACCAGAGCAAAGAAAUUUUUGUAAGUGAUCGGGUUCACACAUAAAAAGUGUGAUUGCAGAGCUAUACUACCUAAGACACUGGGUCAUUCAUUCCCGAAAGGAAGACUUUGCCAUGACUUAUCCCACCCUCAAAUCUUCCUUUAAACCCUUACUUAGCUGUGAGCAAAGUUGUAAAGAGUUCUUGGCUGCUUCUGAAUGAAAAUCUGUGAUGUCCACUGUUCGGAAGCUGGCAACAAUGAAAGCAAUCAUGCAGUUUUUCAUCUGAGUGCAGGUUUCCCGGACAUUCUUUAUGUUCCCUUUAAAAAGCAGUCCUAUAAAUAUGACUUCAGUGGCAGAUGAAUACACACAGCAGACAAAUGUGUCCCCUCACUAAUGGUCUGAUAAAUUUGAAAGGUUUUUUUGGUGACAUAAUUACAACUUGGUCAGCUCUUGCUAUUAUGCAUCACUGUUUGUGAUAAACAAUGCUCUACCUUGUAUGUUUUAGCAAAGUCUUGGAGAAAACUGCAGGACAGUAAAUCACCUGCUAACAAGGGCUGUAGCUAAUCUUCCCCCGGAGUUCUGAACUCCAGCAAACUAGAGUAUCAAAAAUCAGGAGAGAUUCCAUAUUCUAAGUCCACUUGUCUGAGACAGACUGAGAAAUAGCUUCAUGCAGAACAGAUAAAGAUUUUUUUAAAAAAUGAACAGAUAAAGGAGAAAAGCUUUGUACAUAUUCACUGACUUAAUUAAACCUUAAGAGGUUAUAAUUUUUGAUAAAAGCAUACUUCCGUAUAAAGUUCAUUGUAAGGUAGUUUAUAAUGAGUAAGACCUACACAAAGUAAUGCACUGGCUGACAUAAAAAAAUUACAAAACCAUGUUUAAUUUUUCAUGAUAAUGCAAGUUUUUUGAGAUCCAGAGCUACACCUGAAAGAACUUUGUGAAGUGUUUGUUUAUUUCUGAAAACAAUCACAUUUGCAAUUUUGUUUAAGGGGACACAUUUUAGGUUUACUGGCUUUUUGCACCAAGUGAGAAAGGGAGAAUGAUUGACUAUCUUAAGGUCAAACAUUAAAUCAUUUAUGAAAAGCUCAGUGCAGCUACAAUAGAUUGGUGAGCUACCCUAGCAGUGUGGCUGGAUUUGCCUUACAUGCAUUAAACAAUUUAUAUAUUGGGUCAAAGUAACUGAAUAUGGAUGACACAUGAUAAGAGUUUCCACCUACUUCCCGCUAGUAGUUUCCCUGGCUUUCUUCUCACUAAACUAGAGCAUGCCUUUCUCAAACAGGUCCUGAAUAAAACACAGUCCAAAGCCCUUCCAAAAAUAGCAAUGGAAAGAUGUUUCCUUAAAACCUCUGCUGUUUCUUCCAGAACACUGUUUAUAGUUGAAUCCCAUCCCUCCAGUGGCCCCUCCUCAGGAAUGGAAUCUACUUCCCCAGCAUAGGAGACUUAUGUAGAAGAGCUUUCGCUUGUGCUCUUUACACUCUUUCAUAGCUAAUCAACAACCACUCACUGCCUAGCUAUUUGUGUGAGAUGUGCUAUAUAACUGUGGCACAAAGCCUUUCAUUUGUGUUCUUACUAAUGCUAUUUGUAGACUGUGGAUUGUAGCUGCCGCCUCUGAUCUUCCACUGUCUUUUAAAAAUGAAUAAAAAAAAAAAGAAAAAAGAAGAGAAGCAAUUAUUGGCACUGUUCAAAGAGCUUUCCCUGUUCUGCUCUCAGGAAGGCAGCCUUUGUACAAAGCCAGUGGAGUUGUGCCCAUUCACAGCAGGGCUGAAUUUGGCCUGAAAUGCUGCCCUAGUAAACAGAACAGGCAUCCUCCUAUGAAUCAGGAAAGGUGGUGGUAUGGCUAGUCUUUGCAUAUGAGACAAGUCAGGCUUGCAGUGCCUGUCCCUCACCUCUCAUUCCUCAUAUAGCUCUUUUUUGGAUGUGCAAAUAUUGCCCUUCAGAUGCACAGUCAGGCCCAGCCUUCCCAUGGAGUGCAAAUAUGUUCUGCCAAAAGUGCCGUAGACAACCUAGGCUUACGUGCAAAGAUUUUUAUAAGCCAAAUGAAUUUGUUACUGUGCUGAUGGCUUCCUUGGGAACACUUGUAACAUCUAGAAGAGCUUGAGUAUAAGUUCAAAUGGGUCCUCAACAAGAAACUGCAAAUUAUUCUUCCUUGCAAGUAAGCAAAACGAAAUGAAAGAAUGGGACAAGAGGGUCUGUGUGUCCAUGAGAGGAGCAGAAAGCAAACGGGGAGAGUGACUAAUAAGACGGAGGAGGAAUGAGAGGAUGUGUUGGGUAGAGUUUGAUCAAUAUGAAAGAAUUACUAUGCAUGUUUUCUUUACCCUUUGCUUUUUCAGCAUUGUAGGAAAUGGAUUAAUGAUUUCUGAGUGGAGAUGGAAAAAUGUGAGAGAAGAAGAAGGUGUUUUCUGAUCUCCUAGGAGGCUGGCUUUCCCAGGCUGAUAUGUUCAUGCCAAGACUGAUUCCAGCAUGUCUUUGCUGAAGGCUUUCUUUCAGCAGAUUCUGACUUGUUAUCCUUAAGAUCUGUUCAGCCUUGAAGAUGUCAAGCUCAUGGUGACGGAAGGUUGGUUGAAAGCUCCAUACAAUCCUGACAAAGUCAUCUCACUCCACAAGCAGAGUUUAUUGCGGUCUAUAUCAUCCUUACAUAUCAUCCCUGUUGCUUCCUCAGAGUGGGAAAUAAGAAGCAAUCAUAAUCCUUUAUCAAUACAUCAUAUUCUCUUCAUGGUUAUGGUAUAAAAAAGUUGACUAUGACUAUAAAAACAAGGAUUAUUACAGUGGCACCUUCUACAGUCUGUGAUAAGAGGACUAUCAGCACUUCCACUGCAUGAGACUUUUCUAGUCUUGAAAACUGAAGUAAUGAAAUUCACACUGGACUGAAAUUUGGUUCCUGGCUUCUGAGCAUAAGCACAAGAGUGCAGGAGGACCCUAGAAGUCUGUUGGACUUUGCUGUUCCUUGCUCACUGGGACAAGGGAAAGAACAAGGUACAGUGUGUAGCUGUGUUCGGGGUCCCAGGAAACUUGGGAAAAUUAGAAGUGUCCUGACACUCCUCACUAUGAAACGUGGUUCAUCUUCCAACAGAUGGCCAUGGAAGAGAGGGAGGAAUAAUCCAAAUAGACACUUGAAUUCACUUCUAACCUCGAGAAAUUACAAUUUCUUGUAUUUGUGAUCUCUUUAAUACACUCACAGGGAACAUACUGCCAAACAUACCUUAAAGGAGAACAUCUUUCUAAAAUCUGUCUACUGCCUUCUGGAAUAUAAAUUUUCCUCAGAUAUAACUUGAUGUUCUUAGCUUUCUUGGCCAUCAACAUUGUUAAACUGUUUGAUUGUCUAUGAUGCAAUGCCACAAGUUUGGGUAGAGCAUUUGCAACUUUCUCCACAUCAGCAAUUCUUCUAAUAUGCUGACGCAAUGUUUUACCAUCUGUCAACUUUUCAAAUUGCCUCUUCUUUCUUUCUAGGCUGCCUAUUUUUUCUUUCAGAGAAAGGAAAGAGAAGAGAAAGAAGAAAGUAAAGAAAAUAAAAGAAAUAAAGAAAACAAAUAUUUAAAUAAUUUUUUUUAAAAAAAUACUUUAAUGUUGCACCAUAUUAGACUAACCUGUAUGUUCUGAUGUAUCUUUGGUGAUGUUUUUGCCAUGAUGAUUUUAACUGAGGAAUGUUUCCUUUACAAGGAACCUGAAAAAAAUUCCAACACCCAGAACCAGCAAUCAACCAUCACCCCCAUCACAUCACCACCACCACAAAAAAUAUACCACAAAACAUGGUUAUGUAACUGCUCUGUAAUACAAAAAAAAAUAAAAUUAAAAAAUAAAAAUUUAUAGUGUU